GACGAACGCUGGCGGCGUGCUUAACACAUGCAAGUCGAACGGAAAGGCCCUGCUUUUGUGGGGUGCUCGAGUGGCGAACGGGUGAGUAACACGUGAGUAACCUGCCCUUGACUUUGGGAUAACUUCAGGAAACUGGGGCUAAUACCGGAUAGGAGCUCCUGCUGCAUGGUGGGGGUUGGAAAGUUUCGGCGGUUGGGGAUGGACUCGCGGCUUAUCAGCUUGUUGGUGGGGUAGUGGCUUACCAAGGCUUUGACGGGUAGCCGGCCUGAGGGGGUGACCGGCCAAGUUGGACUGGGAAUGCGCCCCAGCCCCCGACGGGGGGGGGAGGGGGGGAGUGUGCCAUAGGGGGCGGAGCCCAGAUGCGACACCGCCGCGGGGGGGAGGGGGUCCUGGGGUUAGGGUCCCGCUUCCCCCUGAGACGAGGUGAGAGUGACGGUACUGGGAAAAGAAGCCCCGGCUAACUCCGUG
rnacentral:rRNA from 1 species